rnacentral:tRNA from 1 species
GGGGUUGUGGCUCAGAGGUAGAGUGCUCACCUAGCAUGUGUGAGGCACUGGGUUCAAUCCUUAGCACCACA